AGGUUGCAGAGGUUGGUUCAGUAGUUUCACUUGGUUCGUCAGAAGAUCCACCUGAUCCACCAGCAGUCGAUGAGGAGCCUUCAGAUGUGCUUAUGGCAGAUUCAGAG
rnacentral:lncRNA from 1 species